ACGCUCGACACCUACGGAGGCAGCAGUGGGGAAUAUUGCACAAUGGGGGAAACCCUGAUGCAGCAACGCCGCGUGAGUGAAGAAGUAUUUCGGUAUGUAAAGCUCUAUCAGCAGGGAAGAUAAUGACGGUACCUGACUAAGAAGCUCCGGCUAAAUACGUGCCAGCAGCCGACGGUAAUCUGAGGCGGGCUGGCGAAGGC
rnacentral:rRNA from 1 species